UACAGAGGUCUCAAGCGUUGUUCGGAUUCAUUGGGCGUAAGGGGUGCGUAGGUGGUGCUGUAAGUCAGGUGUGAAAUCUCGGGGCUCAACCCCGAAACUGCACUUGAUACUGCGGUGCUUGAGGACUGGAGAGGAGAUCGGAAUUCAUGGUGUAGCAGUGAAAUGCGUAGAUAUCAUGAGGAAGACCAGUGGCGAAGGCGGAUCUCUGGACAGUUCCUGACACUGAGGCACGAAGGCCAGGGGAGCAAACGGG
rnacentral:rRNA from 1 species